CGGGAAACCGGAGCUAAUACCGAUAAUAUUUCGAACCGCAUGGUUCGAUAGUGAAAGGUGGUUUUGCUAUCACUUAUAGAUGGACCCGCGCCGUAUUAGCUAGUUGGUAAGGUAACGGCUUACCAAGGCGACGAUACGUAGCCGACCUGAGAGGGUGAUCGGCCACACUGGAACUGAGACACGGUCCAGACUCCUACGGGAGGCAGCAGCU
rnacentral:rRNA from 1 species